AAGCGAUCUGAUUGGUUGCUAUGGACAACUGGGAGACUUUUCCUCUAGACAGGUGUUGAUAAAUCUCCCCCAAAGAGAUCAGGAGCAAAUUGUGCAGGUAAAUCUGUCUGAAAAAGAAGCACUGGCUAUUCAAUAUUACUUUCAGAAAGACCCAUUUGUUGCAUGCAGAAUAUUGGUUAUGACACUUUAAGUUGCUCAAGAAGAAUGAAGCCAAGGUGAGGAAGAAAUUACAUUUCGAUGUAGCAUAACCUCUGACCAGCAAGAUAAAUCAUGGGACUUGGAAUCCUGACAGAUGAGGCUGAAUGGCUUCCAACUAUUCCUAAAUAUGAUGAUCCUAUUUGUGGCAAUGGAAGUCAUCUAAUUGGUGCGGUGCUUCUUAUACCUGCCUGACAAGAAGUCCCUUUAUGUGAAUUCAGUCUCUGUCAAUGGAAAAGUAUUUGUUAAUCCGUAUCACUGUGACAAAUCCAUCCAGUUCUUUGUUAUUUGUAUGGACAAGAGUGAGAGAAUUGGUACCUGCCAUUAGAAUUCUGUGACACGAUGUGGAAG